GCCUGCCCGGUGACCAUGUGUUCAACGGCCGCGGUAUUCUGACCGCGCGAAGGUAGCGUAAUCACUUGUCUUCUAAAUAAAGACUAGUAUGAACGGCCACACGAAGACUUGACUGUCUCCCCUGUCCAAUCAGUGAAACUGAUCUCCUUGUGCAGAAGCGAGGAUACACCCAUAAGACGAGAAGACCCUAUGGAGCUUCAAACUCAAUAUUAAUUACCUUAAAACCCCCUCUAAGGAGCCAACAAAUAAUUUUUUAAACUUAUAUUAGUUUUAGGUUGGGGCGACCAUGGAGAAAAAAAAUAUCCUCCCUGAUGACUUUCUAACCAAGAGCCACAGCUCUAAGUAUUAAGACACUUAACUCCCAUUGACCCAUUUUAUGAUCAACGAACCAAGUUACCCUAGGGAUAACAGCGCAAUCCGUUUCAAGAGUCCCUAUCGACAAAUGGGUUUACGACCUCGAUGUUGGAUCAGGGCAUCCUAGUGGUGCAGCCGCUACUAACGGUUCGUUUGUUCAACGAUUAAAGCCCU
rnacentral:rRNA from 1 species